AGUGAACGCUGGCGGUAGGCCUAACACAUGCAAGUCGAACGGCAGCACAGGAGAGCUUGUUCUCUGGGUGGCGAGUGGCGGACGGGUGAGGAAUACAUCGGAAUCUACUCUGUCGUGGGGGAUAACGUAGGGAAACUUACGCUAAUACCGCAUACGACCUACGGGUGAAAGCAGGGGACCUUCGGGCCUUGCGCGAUUGAAUGAGCCGAUGUCGGAUUAGCUAGUUGGCGGGGUAAAGACCCACAAAGGCGACGAUCCGUAGCUGGUCUGAGAGGAUGAUCAGCCACACUGGAACGGAGACACGGUCCAGACUCCUACGGGAGGCAGCAGUGGGGAAUAUUGGACAAUGGGCGCAAGCCUGAUCCAGCCAUACCGCGUGGGUGAAGAAGGCCUUCGGGUUGUAAAGCCCUUUUGUUGGGAAAGAAAUCCAGCUGGCUAAUACCCGGUUGGGAUGACGGUACCCAAAGAAUAAGCACCGGCUAACUUCGUGCCAGCCGCCGCCGUAA
rnacentral:rRNA from 1 species